CUGUUCUUGUUUGUUGCCAUCAGGUCUAUUUGUGGCAUGCCCCAUAUUUGUGUCCACUCUGCUCAGGAAAUCUGCUAUGGAAUUCUGGAUCCCAGGAAGAUGUACAGCUGAUAUACCUGCUAGAUGUGUUUGCGUGAAGGCCAUCAGGGGUUUCAUUAUUGACAUCAUCUUUUGACUCCUGGUUCCUCCCUGAUGAUUUAUGUAGGCUACUAC